rnacentral:rRNA from 1 species
UACGAAGGGGGCUAGCGUUGUUCGGAAUCACUGGGCGUAAAGCGCACGUAGGCGGAUUCUUAAGUCAGGGGUGAAAUCCCGAGGCUCAACCUCGGAACUGCCUUUGAUACUGGGAAUCUUGAGUAUGGUAGAGGUUGGUGGAACAGCAAGUGUAGAGGUGAAAUUCGUAGAUAUUUGCUAGAACACCAGUGGCGAAGGCGGCCAACUGGACCAUAACUGACGCUGAGGUGCGAAAGCGUGGGGAGCAAACAGG